GUACCCUCCUCUGGCCUCAGUUUACCCCUCUGCCACUCUUUUCCUCCCCUCCUCCUCCUCUGUCGCUCCAGGGUGCCUGGGCUCUCAGGCUCCCGCCUGCCUUCCUCCGUGUUGCUCUGGGAACAUGGUGUCCCUUCACCAUCACACCCAGCCCUGGACUCAGGUUGAGAGGACCUCAUAGGUCCGCAAGGCAUCUGACCUCAAGCAUUGCCCCUGCCUCCCCUUGGCGUCCGGUGGGGGCCGGCGCAGUCCCAUCUGGGGAAAACCCACCCACCCCGUGCAAACCGCCGUAAAUGGAGGAAUCGUCCCUGCCUGGCCCUCGAUAAAGCUGCAAAGAAACCCAAAGCAAAACAGCCCAACCCAAGCAAGCAAAGUUGUUCUGAAUGCUCUUAUUCUGUGGACGUGUUUUUUGGGACAGCCUCUCAAAGGUGUUUUUCUUUGCCGGAGCCACUUUUGGACCGAGAACCACCCCAUACGCACUCUGUCCCCUGUUGAUCUGCUGAGGAGCCUUCAACCUGGCUUGUGAGUUCAAAGCCCCUCCUGGUCAGAGCGGAGAGAGGGCACAGCCAGGCAGGUGGAUCUCUCUGAGGGUCAGAUAAAGGACGAAUGGUUCCAGGCUGGCGUCCUAAAGAUAUUUGCCUGCACAGGGCCCUGAUGGCUGCAGGGAGGGCGGCACAGCACCAGAUGCCUGGGGCAGGUGCGGACAUGCUCCUCAGGGCUCAGAGACAUCCGGCUCCCAGCAUCUUCCAGCAGAGUCCUGGCCCACUACCGAGCUGCCGCGUGCCUGUCACCCUGCCGUGGAGGGGAGAGAGAAACAGCCAGAGGAACAGACAAAAAGUGGAGACAAGAAAGACAGAAAGAGAAGGAACACACUCUCAACAGCUCAAGGUGAGCUAUGUUGGGAAGUGGUCCGAGCGUGGCCUCUCAGAACCCACCUGCUGUCCCUGGCCAGCUGAAUGACCCCUUGGAGGGACUCCUUGCUCUGAACCUUCAUCUCGUCCGCAGCCUGAGGAUGGAGGGACGCUGCAGAGCACUAUGGGAAAGUGUGUGUGGGCUCCUCCUCACCAGGUCUGGGUUCCUCCAAAGAUAAUCUUCUAGUAGGUGGGUCCCAGGCUGCCCUGGGAGACCACCCCCAAAAUAUUGGGGAGUGGAGACCAGGAGUUGCUUGCCCUGAACGUGUUUGUUCUUUCUUACUAAUGAAACUCCCAAUUUUUCACCGGGUUCGUGACCUUCCAAAAUAAAGACUCUCUUUCUCAACCUCCCUUGUAGCUAGAUGUAGCCGGGUGACUAAGUUUUGGUCACUGAGAUGUAAGCAGAGAACAGUUGCAAGGAAACCUGUUUGAAACACAGCUGGUAGGUACCCCUGUGCCUCUUCUUCCUCCUUGCUUGCUUCUGGCUGGCCGCAAGGUGAACAUGAUGGCCGGUGCUCAAGCAGCCAUAUUGGGCCAUGAGGAAAAGGUUGUAUACCGAAAGUGGACUGCCUCCCCCUGGACUUCUGUUAUGGCAGUGAGAAAGAACCAUCAAUCUUGUUGAAGCCACUGUUAUUUGACUUCUUUCUCCAUCAGUCUUCAUCCUGAUGGAUAAAAUAAGGAACAGGUAAUUUCUCUGAUCUGGUUUCCCUUCUAGAAUAAGGGAAACUGAGCUGCUCCGAGUUGGCAGAAACAUGGGGGCAUCAAUUCCCUUGCAGUGGUUAGUCUAGCAGAAGAAUACUGUCAACAACAGUGAUACUACUGUCAUAAUAAUAACGGCAAUAACAGCAGUAUUCUUUAUUGAGCGCUGACUGUGACCCAAAGCUGUCCAGCUUGCAAGAGGCAGGGCCCCGACCCAGACCCACAUGGUGUCAGGCUCAUGCCAAGACCUUCAGGUUUUUCUUCUUGGCAUUCCAGGCCCUUCAAAUGUUGCAGGGUGUCUCCCCCCUCUGCUGCCUGUUGGAAUGUCGCCUCGUGCCACAGCCGCCUCUUCCAGGAGGUGCAGGAAUGCUCUCCUUGAGUCAUGCUACCCACAGACUCCUUUGUCUGGCUCCCCGUGGGUCUGAGAUGUUGGCUUCUCUGCCCAGCCAGGCCUCGGUCCCCCGCCUUCUGGUUUAGCGCUGAGCCCUCUUGUUCACAUCCGCUUCUGGCCCGGAGCCUGGCACAUGGUGUGUGCCCAGGGGAGGUCUGAUAAUGAAUCGAGGAUCCCACACCCAGCCGGUGGGGGACAAGGCGUGACACACUGUGGAUCUCUUGUCCACAGCUCUGACCACAUGUUUUCAAGCGUCUGGAUCAACGAGCGUCUACAGUUCUCAGGGAGAGGGGCCGAGGGCUGGAGAAGAUGGGAGGGGACACAGGGAGCUGCGGAGUGGGGUGUGCAGGUGCCAGACAGAGGGCAAGCCCUGGGCUUCUGUGGCACCCCCUCCCCUCAGCAGAGAAGCCCCCGGCAGAUAGAGAGCAAGGCAAGUGACAGAUUCCCUGCACCGUCGCCCCGGCAGACAGGAAAAGCCACCCCCCUGGCUGGAGAUGGGGACAUGGUGGCGGGGGGGGGGGGGGCAAGAGGGUUCUCCCCAUACAGACCGAGGUGGCAUCUGUGUGGAUUUCUGAGAGACCUGUGUCCGUUUGAUGCCCGUAGGACAUGGAGGUCAAGCCUCUGAACUUGGCACAAUCCUGGCCCAUGACCUUGGGCACCUGGCCUCUCUGUGAGCCUCGGCUUCCUCAUCGGCGAGACAACGUGGCACCUCCUAUGGGAAAGAGAGUGAGCCACCAUAUGCACAGGCCGGCCCGUCUCAGGCUCCCCUGCGCAACCCCCCCCCGCCCCGCACACCCACUGCAGGGGACUGUGUUAAAGGCUCUGACACAGGGGGUCUAGGGAGGCGCCUGAGAUUCUGCGUUUCUAACAGGCUCCCCGGGCUCACUGAUGUCGCGGGUCCGUGGGCUUCACCUUGAGUAGCCAGGCGGCUGAGACACGGGGGGGUUUGCAAACCACAGCUCGUGGGCCGAAUCCCACCCACGGCCCACGUCUGUCCAUAAAGUUCCUUGGAGCACAGCCACAUGUUUAUUUACGUGUUGUCCAGGGCUGCGACGGAGACCUGCUGGCCACCAGAGCUGCAAACAGGUCCUCUCUGGCCCCUUACGGCAGGACUUUGCCGACCCCAAAUGUGAUGCUGAAAGAUUGAAGAGAAGGAAUGGAUGGAAGGCCUCUGAGCCCAGAAGAAGUGGCGGGUCCACCGUACGGAUUGUUCUGGCGGCUGAGCUGGCCGGAGCGGGCGUCUCAUCCUCACCCAGGAAGGUCCCGGCUAAAACUGAGCGAGGGGGAUGAUGUCCAGGCCGGGCACAAAACCUCAGGAAGAGGAGGAAGCGAACAGACAAAGUCACAGGGGAAAAUCCUUCACGGCCAGCC